GGUACAUAUCCAUGACUACUUGCUCUAAAUUCUCAACAUGUUCCUGGUAGAGGGGAAGAUGCUUCCUGAAUCCUUCAAUUUGUAAGUACCCCCUGCUGCUUCUGUUUGAUAUGCUUCAAGUUUGGAAGAUUGACAAAAUGUGGCCAGCUUGCUCCUUGCUCCAGGGCUUUAAGAUUGGAAGAUGCAAAAAGCUUAUCAGUAAUUUAUUCAGUUGUUUUACUGUUGCAUAGUGGUUUAUACACAAGGCAUAUCAUCUUUAUCUCAAUAUUCACACAAACUCUGAACACCAAUCUUAUCUGUUGUUUUUUGUGGUAUGUAUAGUGGUUUGCUUCCUUUGUCAGAUCUAUUUUGUUUUCAUCCUGCCUUGCAUAGUUAUUGUUUCCCUUUUGGUUUGUCUUUUCUAUUGUGUACUUGCCGUGCCUAUGUCCAGUUUGUUUGUAUUGCCUGCUGUAUCUUGUGCUAGAUCAGCUUGUUAUGACCAUGCACUCUCAGAGCUGUUAAUGAAAAAAAAUUGGUAUUGCAAGCAUCGUUCUGUGCAAGAAAAGAGUCUGUGUGUUGUGAUUCAGUUCCUUAUCCUGCCAAUCUAUCAUCUCGGGAUACUUAUUUUCUUUUGUGUUCCACGUCCUGUUGCUAUUACGCCGGCCCGCCGCCUCGUGUGCUGCCUUUCUUCUUGCCAAGGUUCUACCUUUCUCCUUUGACUUUCUGUUGUUUAGCUCAUUUCAUAUACAACAUUUUACUUGCUCUAACUGUGUGUUCUGUAUGUUGUUUUCUGUUUUCAUUAUUAUUUCUUUUCAUGCCUGCCAUCCUUCUAAUUUAUUUUGUGCCUGGAUUCUGGAAACGACCAAGGACAAGAAACACAAGCGAAAGAUUUCUUCAGUCGAUCCUGCCCUGUUAUUCUAAUGAAACAUGAUAAAGGUUCGUUGCUGCCGUCGUUUCUUCUGUUUCUUCGGGGUUUCAAUCGGCCUGCCGUGUUCUGCUGCUUCGAGAGACUGCAUCGUUCAUGCUUCUGGUUGGCUUAGUUGGCGAGAUCAACAACUACAGCUAACUAGGUGCAUCACCUCGUGAAAAACCCGGACACACGAGGCGUGGACAACACUAGAGGUGAGGUCCUGGUGGAGAGUGGCAUGUUGGUUUCCUCGGUAGGAUCUGGCUUCCUUGAGGUGACUGUUUAGGAUCAUUGACAUGGGAUUUUGUAGUUAUUCUCUCAAUCUGAUUUUGUGUCUUGCUGCAUGCAAUACCUGAUCCUAUGUUCCCUUUGCUUUCUUGGUUGGCUUUGCAGACCAGGAGACACAUUCUGGAGAUCUCCUUGGCCAUCAGCUGGUCAUGCAUGCUCCUUAUAAGCUAGGGAUUACAGUUCUUAAGAUUAACUGCAUUAUCUCUGUUUCUAUAUUAGAAUAACUGAAAAUGUGGUGCAGGACUGCAGUCUACAUUUCAGACUGAGAGGGCGAAAUUGGGGAGGCUUGGAGGAGACCAGAGAGCAACGAUGUUGAGGUGGAGGGAGCCAGGAGUGCCAUUAUCGACAGCACGAGUACCAUCUCUGGGCAUACUACUGUAAGUUGCAACCAAUAACCAACAUCUAGAUGCGUCUACUCCAUGUACAAUAGUUUCAUGUGCAUUGAUUGUGUCCCCUAAAUCCAUUCAUCCUACCAAUAGUUUAGCAUAUGGGAUGUUGACAAACAAUGCAUCCAUGCCUUCUUUUUCUAUGGAUGUAUGCUCAAGACAAGACAACAUAAAAAUGCCAUGGUCGAGGUCGGCAUCUCCGGGAAGGUCUCCACAACAGGGAGGGCUCCAUAAUCGUUCUCCAGUUAUUUCCCACUUAUCUCCUUCAGAUGUGGUCAAUUUGGCAUGGGCACGCGUUCGGUCGGAAUGGGUCAGAUGGGCUUCUGUCUAUUGUUGUUCUUGUGUUUCUUUCUCUUAUCUCAUGGUUGCCUAUUGUAUGCAUGAAAAUGCCUGACAAUGGAGGUAGCCACAAGCACACAUAUGUUGUAGCUUCGAGGCAUUGACUUGUGUGUGUUCUGAACUUACAUUAGAUCUUCAUAGACUAUAUGCUUUUAUUUUGAGACAUCUUAAUCCUUUUGAUUAAUCACAUUGAUGUACUGAUGAUACUUAAGUACUCUAUAAAUGUGCCGUUGCAAGCUACUAGAGAUGAUCUGUUAAAAACAGUACCCCAACAGAGAGAGCCGUAGGUUUAGUUUUCACUUAUGGCAGUUGAUGUGCUAUGUUUGCUGAUGUGCAUUUUUUUUCAUGCUAUGCAUGCUCUCCAUUGAUAUAACAAAUCCAUUUCUAUUAUUUGCAUAAUUCUUUGCUAACAGUUUGGACAUAGUUUUUCCAUUGAUAGGGAUUUGCUGCCCAAUGAUCUGUUCUCGCUACAGAUUUGUAGGUUUAGUUUACUAUUGUACUAUGCAGUAUGAAAGCAGUGUAAAUAAGUUAGCUGGGACAACCACGAUGGCCUGCUUUUGGUAUAUGAACAAUGAUGCUUUAGGUGUUUGAUGCUACAUUAUAUGAACCUCUAAUAGGAAUCGUCACUAUGAGAAGCUGCAAGGCCAGUGUGUCUACCUCUUCCUGAAGUGGCACAUGAAUAUCUGUCUUUCUUUAGUUAUAUCAUGUUGCAUUUUCAGUGACAUGCUCAAAAUAUGUAAUCAACUGAACCACUACUAUGAGUAAUUGUUUGCUUCC